GUGCCCCAUCAGGAUGUCAUUGUCUCCAGUCAUGCGGUCCAGUGAGUCGCCACUCUACCGCACGGCAAUGACCCCAAGGACGUCCCGAUCCACAGCAGGGACGUGGCCACCCCUGCCAAGUCCCUGGACACAGCCCCAAGUGUUCCCUGGUGGGCCAUACUCGCUGGGCUCCUCCUCCUCCUCCUCCUCCUCCUCCUCCUCCUCACCCUGCUGCCGUGGAAGGUGUCGGGUUCCUGCACAGGUGAACCAAGAUGGAGUCAUGGCUUUGGGGCGGCUUGCUAAACAGGUCAGAUGAGCCACAACGUGCGCAGGUCACAACAGGUCACCACAUGCAGGUCGGAGGUCACACAGCCACCGUCCAUGACCUGACCCCUAAGAGUGGAUACCAGCUGUCUGGAGUGGACACAGAAGUGGAUUCCUUACAGCAUCGGGACUCCUGUAAGAGGAGACAUAGGAAGCAUAGCUGUGGAGGAGGAGGAGGAGGAGGAAGGGUCAAGAUCUCGGUCACCCUCGGAGUCUCGUCACUGGCAACUUCCCGAGGAGCUGCGUCUGUGCGUCACACUCCACCUCCAAGCUAACCCAGGACUGUCCCAGGCUGAGCUGCAUGACAUAACCUAUACUAAGAUCGAACCCGCCUGCAACCUCAAGAUCAAGUACGGGUCACCCAAGCCUAGGAGACAGAGUAGCCCUCGCCGAUCUAAGAGGUGGGUGAUUGCGGCUGAUUGGGGUCUGAAGAGGCUGUUUUUAGGGGCGAGAGGGCAGGGAUAAGACUGUAAGGUUACUAUCAGUGCUGAGAGACAAAAAAUGUGAAGGGUAAUUUUUGGGGCUGAUUUCGGUGCCUGAGGGGGCUGAAAGGAGUAGAGGGGAAGGAAAGGGGCUGAGAAGGAGUCGUCAGGUCGCUAUGGGUUUAAGAACAGGCUGGUUUGGGGCUUUUUAGGGGGCUGAUUUCGGGCUGCGAGUGUAAGGCCGCGGGCACACAGAAAGUGAGAAAGCUAGCGAGAGCUGCAAGGCGAGUUUCUGUGGCCAUACUCACUCUGGAAUAGCUUAAGUUAGGUUAGCAUUUUU